rnacentral:rRNA from 1 species
CCUACGGGUGGCAGCAGUGGGGAAUAUUGCGCAAUGGGCGAAAGCCUGACGCAGCGACGCCGCGUGAGGGAUGAAGGUCUUCGGAUCGUAAACCUCUGUCAGCAGGGAAGAACGGUCACGGUGCGAAUCAGCAGUGAAUUGACGGUACCUGCAAAGGAAGCACCGGCGAACUCCGUGCCAGCAGCGGCGGUAAUACGGAGGGUGCGAGCGUUAAUCGGAUUUACUGGGCGUAAAGCGCUCGUAGGCGCUAUGUCAAGGCAAGGGUGAAAUCCCCGCGCUCAACGUGGGAACUGCCUUUGAAACUGGCACUCUGGAGUGUGUGCGAGGCUAGUGGAAUUCCCGGUGUAGGCGUGAAAUCCGUAGAUAUCUGGAGGAACAUCAGUGGCGAAGGCGACUCUCUGGCACAUACCUGACGCUGCGGAGCGAAAGCGUGGGUAGCAAACAGGAUUAGCUACCCGAGUAGUC